AUUGAACGCUGGCGGAAUGCUUUACACAUGCAAGUCGAACGGUAGAGGGGGCAACCCCUCGAGAGUGGCGAACGGGUGAGUAAUAUAUCGGAACGUGCCCAGUCGUGGGGGAUAACGUAGCGAAAGUUACGCUAAUACCGCGUACGAUCUACGGAUGAAAGCGGGGGAUCGCAAGACAUCGCGCGAUUGGAGCGCCCGAUAUCAGAUUAGGUAGUUGGUGGGGUAAAGGCUCACCAAGCCAACGAUCUGUAGCUGGUCUGAGAGGACGACCAGCCACACUGGAACUGAGACACGGUCCAGACUCCUACGGGAGGCAGCAGUGGGGAAUUUUGGACAAUGGACGCAAGUCUGAUCCAGCCAUUCCGCGUGCAGGAUGAAGGCCCUCGGGUUGUAAACUGCUUUUGUACGGAACGAAAAGGUUUCCAUUAAUACUGGGAGCUCAUGACGGUACCGUAAGAAUAAGCACCGGCUAACUACGUGCCAGCCGCCGCGGUAA
rnacentral:rRNA from 1 species